rnacentral:rRNA from 1 species
CCUACGGGAGGCAGCAGUAGGGCAUCUUCCACAAUGGACGAAAGCCUGAUGGAGCAACGCCGCGUGAGUGAUGAAGGUUUUCGGCUCGUAAACCUCUGUUGGUAGUGAAGAAAGGUAAAUGUAGUAACUAGCCUUUAUUUGACGGUACUUGCUUAGAAAGUCACGGCUAACUACGUGCCAGCAGCCGCGGUAAUACGGAGGGUGCAAGCGUUAACCGGAUUUAUUGGGCGUAAAGCGCUUGCAGGCGGUACAAGAAGUCUAAUGUGAAAUCCUUCGGCUCAACCUGAGAAUUGCAUCAGAAACUGGUGAACUGGAGUGAAGAAGAGGAGAGUGGAAAUCCAGGUGUAGCGGGGGAAUGCGUAGAUAUAUGGAAGAACACCAGUGGCGAGGGCGGCUAUCUGGUCUACAACUGACGCUGAGGCUCGAAAGCAUGGGUAGCGAACAGGAUUAGAUACCCCAGUAGUC